AGGCAGUCCUUGUUCUAGUCUUCUGGACUGUAUUUUGUUUUAUUGUGUUUUAGUAUUGUAUUGGAUAUGUUUGUUAUUUCUGUUUCUGCUGGCCAAUGGCUGUAAUAAAAUUGGUGAUCUAGUCUUCUGAAGGAAGAGAGCGGCAAUCGCCAUUUUGUUCACACUUGGACGGUGUGCUGAGAGCAGAGCUUGCUGAGAGACCAUUUAUUUUGUUUAUUGAGCCUCAGAUUAUCCUCCAGAUCAGUCUUCCUCACUGGCCCAAUCUACCCAGCCUGCCUUGCUGCGACAAGAAGCUACCUACAUGAACACAGACAUCUUCUGGAUUUACCCUUACUGUCUAGCCCACAAACUACGGUCACUUCUCUGCUGCUGCCUCAGGAAAGAGGUCCUUCAUCCCUCAGGAAAGAGGUCCUUCAGUUGUGCCUGAGCCACAAGGGUCCAUUCACCCCUAAAAUGGAAGGACUAGAUCGUAUUAUAAUCCCUGCACCCUUCUGGUCUCUUCCUAUCCCUGCUCUUUCUUAAACCCAAAAACUUGUUUUUUUGAAGCCUUCUAUCUCUAGCCAGCUUGGAAGUCAAUUAAUUCGGACACCAAUCUAAAUUGCCUCUGCAAAUAUUUGGUUAAUCUUUGUAACAUAUUUUUGGUAGUAAUAUUGCUUUAAUCAAUUCUCUUAUUCCGCUGUACCCCUAAACCCUCAAAUAAAACCAUACUUUAUUUUGAA